rnacentral:rRNA from 1 species
UUGUACCUACGGGGCGCAGCAGUGGGGAAUAUUGCACGAUGGGGGAAACCCUGAUGCAGCGACGCCGCGUGAGUGAAGAAGUAAUUCGUUACGUAAAGCUCUAUCAGCAGGGAAGAAAUACUGACCUUACGGUCAGCAGACGGUACCUGAGUAAGAAGCCCCGGCUAACUACGUGCCAGCAGACGCGGUAAUACGUAGGGGGCAAGCGUUAUCCGGAUUUACUGGGUGUAAAGGGAGCGUAGACGGUGCGCCAAGUCUGGAGUGAAAUGCCGCAGCUUAACUGCGGAACUGCUUUGGAAACUGGG